AUACAGGGGGUGCGAGCGUUAAUCGGAAUUACUGGCCGUAAAGAGUACGUAGGCGGUUGCUUAAGUCAGAUGUGAAAGCCCCGGGCUCAACCUGGGAACUGCAUUUGAAACUGAGUGACUAGAGUUUAAGAGAGGGGAGUAGAAUUCCGGGUGUAGCGGUGAAAUGCGUAGAGAUCCGGAGGAAUACCAGUGGCGAAGGCGGCUCCCUGGCUUAAAACUGACGCUGAGGUACGAAAGCGUGGGUAGCAAACAGGAUUAGAAACCCCAGUAGUCC
rnacentral:rRNA from 1 species